GAUGAACGCUGGCGGCGUGCCUAAUACAUGCAAGUCGAGCGAAUGGAUUAAGAGCUUGCUCUUAUGAAGUUAGCGGCGGACGGGUGAGUAACACGUGGGUAACCUGCCCAUAAGACCGGGAUAAUUCCGGGAAAGCGGGGCUAAUACCGGAUAACAUUUUGAACCGCAUGGUUCGAAAUUGAAAGGCGGCUUCGGCUGUCACUUAUGGAUGGACCCGCGUCGCAAUAGCUAGUUGGUGAGGUAACGGCUCACCAAGGCAACGAUGCGUAGCCGACCUGAGAGGGUGAUCGGCCACACUGGGACUGAGACACGGCCCAGACUCCUACGGGAGGCAGCAGUAGGGAAUCUUCCGCAAUGGACGAAAGUCUGACGGAGCAACGCCGCGUGAGUGAUGAAGGCUUUCGGGUCGUAAAACUCUGUUGUUAGGGAAGAACAAGUGCUAGUUGAAUAAGCUGGCACCUUGACGGUACCUAACCAGAAAGCCACGGCUAACUACGUGCCAGCCGCCGCGGUAA
rnacentral:rRNA from 1 species